UACGUAGGGACCGAGCGUUGUCCGGAAUCAUUGGGCGUAAAGAGCGUGUAGGCGGCUAUCUAAGUCCUGCGUGAAAUCCUGCGGCUCAACCGCAGACGGUCGUGGGAAACUGGAUGGCUAGAGUGCGGGAGAGGAGAGUGGAAUUCCCGGUGUAGCGGUGAAAUGCGCAGAUAUCGGGAAGAACACCCGUGGCGAAGGCGGCUCUCUGGAACGCAACUGACGCUGAGACGCGAAAGCGUGGGGAGCAAACAGG
rnacentral:rRNA from 1 species